CCUACGGGCGGCUGCAGCUAAGAAUCUUCCACAAUGGACGAAAGUCUGAUGGAGCGACGCCGCGUGAAUGAUGAAGGCCGUGAGGUUGUAAAGUUCUUUUCUGGAGGGAGAAUAAGGCGAGCAGGGAAUGGCUUGUCGAUGACGUGAAUCCAGGAAUAAGCCCCGGCUAACUACGUGCCAGCAGCCGCGGUAACACGUAGGGGGCGAGCGUUGUUCGGAAUUAUUGGGCGUAAAGGGCGCGCAGGCGGCUUGGUAAGUCUGAUGUCAAAUGGUUGUGCUUAACACAAUCCUGCGUUGGAAACUGCUGAGCUAGAGUCAACGAGGGGAUGCCGGAAUUCCAGGUGUAGGGGUGAAAUCUGUAGAUAUCUGGAAGAACACCAGUGGCGAAGGCAGGCAUCUGGCGACUGACUGACGCUGAGGCGCGAAGGUGCGGGGAGCAAACAGGAUUAGAUACCCGAGUAGUC
rnacentral:rRNA from 1 species